rnacentral:sRNA from 1 species
GAAUCAUCUACAAGAUUCAUGAGCAGAACAAUGGCGUUGUACUUUAUCCAGAAAUUUGUUCAAGAGAAGAUUUGGCAGACUUAUUCUCAAAUACUGUUUAUUCUCUGCCACAUCUUCUAAUCAUGCAGAGAUUUUACUAAUUCAUGAAGCUAGCCGCGAGUGUGUAUGGCUAAGAUCCAUAGUUCACCAUAUACAAGAAGACUGUGGUAUGUAUGCAGGGAAAAAGACUCCAACAAUUAUGUACGAAGACAAUGCAGCAUGCAUCGUACAACUCAAAGACGGAUACAUCAAAGGCGAUAGAACAAAGCACAUCCUACCAAAAUUCUUCUACACACACGAUCUACAAAAGAGCGGCGAUGUACGAGUUCUACAGAUCCGUUCGAAUGAUAAUCUGGCUGACUUAUUCACCAAGGCGCUACCUACUGCUACUUUCAAGAAGUUAGUCUAUCGUAUCGGAUUACGCCGUCUCAAAGAUCUCGACGAAUAUACUCAUAAAGGGGAGUAAUUGUAUGUUGCACUCUUUUUCCCUUAACCAUGGUUUUUCCCAUUGGGUUUUCCUGGUAAGGUUUUUAAUGAGACAGCAUUUCAAAUACUUUACGAGUUAUGGUACUAUAAUGGUCAUCAGGGGGAGUGUUAUGAAUAAAGAUGGAUGCCCAUUAUAAGGCCAAUCAUCUAAGCCCAUCAUCUAGAUGUUUUUAGGGUUUUACCCUUUCCUUGUACUCCUAUAUAAAGAACUCUUUAUCUCAAUGGAAGAACACACUCAUUUCCUCUAUCUCUUUCUCUGUUUAUAACAAAAAUGAUUUACUAAUGUUUUUAAGGACUUUAAAAGAGUUUUAAAAUAAUUUUGAAAGGAUUUACAAAAGUUUUUAAAAUCCUUGUAAAUCCUUUAAAAACUCUUUAACAACUCUUGUAAAUUAUUUUAAAACCUUUUUACAAUGGUUUUUAAAGAGGUUUACAUAUGUAUUUAAAGACUUUAUAAGG